GUGAGGAAUAUUGGACAAUGGGCGCAAGCCUGAUCCAGCCAUGCCGCGUGCAGGAAGACGCAUCUAUGGUGUGUAAACUGCUUUUGUACGGGAAGAAACACUCCCUCGUGAGGGAGCUUGACGGUACCGUAAGAAUAAGGAUCGGCUAACUCCGUGCCAGCAGCCGCGGUAAUACGGAGGAUCCAAGCGUUAUCCGGAAUCAUUGGGUUUAAAGGGUCCGUAGGCGGUUUAAUAAGUCAGUGGUGAAAGCCCAUCGCUCAACGAUGGAACGGCCAUUGAUACUGUUAGACUUGAAUUACAAUGAAGUAACUAGAAUAUGUAGUGUAGCGGUGAAAUGCUUAGAUAUUACAUGGAAUACCAAUUGCGAAGGCAGGUUACUACUUGUGGAUUGACGCUGAUGGACGAAAGCGUGGGGAGCGAACAGGAUUAGAAACCCGAGUAGUCC
rnacentral:rRNA from 1 species